rnacentral:rRNA from 1 species
UACGGAGGAUCCGAGCGUUAUCCGGAUUUAUUGGGUUUAAAGGGUGCGUAGGCGGAUUAAUAAGUCAGUGGUGAAAUCCUGCAGCUUAACUGUGGAACUGCCAUUGAUACUGCUAGUCUUGAGUAUGGUCAAGGUAGGCGGAAUGUGUAAUGUAGCGGUGAAAUGCUUAGAUAUUACACAGAACACCGAUUGCGAAGGCAGCUUACUGGGCCAUUACUGACGCUGAUGCACGAAAGCGUGGGGAUCGAACAGGA